UGGGCCUCUGAUUGCUUAUUGCACCACAUGUGUUUUUCUUUGAAACAAACUUGCUUUGGCGGUGGGCCCAGCCUGCCGCCAGAGGUCUAAACUUACAACCAAUUUUUUAUUAACUUGUCACACCAGAUUAUUACUUAAUAGUCAAAACUUUCAACAACGGAUCUCUUGGUUCUCGCAUCGAUGAAGAACGCAGCGAAAUGCGAUACGUAAUAUGAAUUGCAGAUAUUCGUGAAUCAUCGAAUCUUUGAACGCACAUUGCGCCCUCUGGUAUUCCGGAGGGCAUGCCUGUUUGAGCGUCGUUUCUCCCUCAAACCGCUGGGUUUGGUGUUGAGCAAUACGACUUGGGUUUGCUUGAAAGACGGUAGUGGUAAGGCGGGAUCGCUUUGACAAUGGCUUAGGUCUAACCAAAAACAUUGCUUGCGGCGGUAACGUCCACCACGUAUAUCUUCAAACUUUGACCUCAAAUCAGGUAGGACUACCCGCUGAACUUAAGCAUAUCAAUAAGCGGAGGAA
rnacentral:rRNA from 1 species